UUUACUCAGCGAAAAUUGCAGCCGUUAUUUUGAUAAUAUAUCUCAGUUUGUGUGUCCUUACUAUUCCUUAUUUAUGAAUUUGAGAAGAUUAAUUUCCACCUAUUGGUGCUGAAGGUCAAGCUGCUCAAUUUCUUUUUGGAUGUGGACCAGUCUCCUCUGGUAUAGCAGAUCUCACAAAGGAUCUUCACCAUCAGGAAAACUCCAUGUUCCACUCAGAAGGUUCACCGUCGCCACCUUGCAUAUUUGUUCUGGGUUUUGCGGUGUGCUGAGAAUAGGAAGGCUGAGUUCAUCAAUUCUACUAUGGAUUCUGCUCUAUAUGCGUGUUUCUUUCCAAUAAUUCAUCACUUGUGCGGGAUUCUAAUGGUUGUGCUGAGUUUUUGCAACGGUGAGGUUGAGCAUAUCGAUUUGUAUAAUGCACAGACCGCGAAUAAUGGUGUUGUGGUGACUGAUACACACUCACAGUUUCCUGAAGGUAAAGUUGAUUUCAGUUGUUUAUUCAUCCUUGUCGGAUCUUGUUUAUAGCAUAUAUACUUGCUUUCAGUUGCUUAUGAUCUACUCAAGCUAACAAAUUCCUUUUGUUGUACAGUUGGCCACUUUUGGCAUAUGUGAUAAUAUGCAUAUUUGUCGGUGUUCAUGGUACUACCUCCCUAUCACUCACACACCUAGAUAUUUUCUUGCCAGCUAUAACCUAAAUUAAGGUUUGACUCUUUCUGUUAACUGCAGGUCUUAAUAUAUAUUUCAGACUACCAUUUAACCCUUAUUGUAAAUUUUACCCACAUUUUUUAACCAACGUUUCUAAACCCAUUUAAUGGUUCUUGUUUUAUGUGUUGGCCUAAUUACCCGACUUCAAAAUGUUCAGAGGUUGGCCUACUUCAGGGUAGUGAGCUGCAGCAUUUUGACGCUCAGUUGGCGCUGGAGGUUAUUCAGGCACCAUCUACAAAUUAAGUAAGAUAUAGCUCUCUUCACCGUAAUUUUGUCAAGGGGUCCGCAAUGAAAUGGACAAUUACGCCAAGAUAGGCACACAAGAAGAUCCUCAAGAUCAGCGAUGGCGAUUGCGACGGUGCAUCGACGAGCUUGAUGAGAUGGCGCAUUGACAAGCAAAAAGUCAUGGGGAUUCCCGCUGUUCGUGAGGGGUUGCAUGAUGCGGCUAUGGGGCGGCGGAGGUCCACACAUCAGACGUAUCUAGGCUGUGCGCACAGAUGAUGUUGAGGCUCCGUGACCUCUACAACCCGAGCAAGGUCAGCAAUGGUUCACCACUUCAGCUGUUACUCUGCUCCAUCCACUAAAUUUUCUUCAGUUCAAUAUCUGCAUAUAUAUGGUGAUGAUUUUAGUGGGCCACAAGGUGUUGGCAAUCGUUGGGUUCUGUAUUCUAUAAAAUAUCAGCAGCUUGUUUAAUCUUCAGUUGCAGUGCUUUCAUGUUAUCAUGAAUUGUAGGCAAACUGUAUAUUGUGUGUUCCUUCUUGCAUCCAGCUUGACUAUUUACUUUGGAAGGAGCAGUUCGUAGAGUGGGUCUGAAGCAAAUGGGUAGCAAUCAUAAUAUUAGGCUGCUACAGAGGGGGUGGACUUUGAUGUCAGUAUGCUACAAAGGAUGUUGAAGAAAUUGGUGAUUUUCUUUAUUUAAUUAAAGAAACAGAUUAUAUGAAUGCACGGUGAUUUGAAAAAAUAUGGUUUAUUUAUUCAAGUGUUCUAAAUUACUCAUUAAUCCGAUAUAAAUUAAGGCUGCAAAGGGGGUCAUGCAAUGACUAUGAACUAAGGGUGAUAUGUAAUUUUUGGUGUUUAUUCUUCUAUGAGCUACCAACCAUAUAUGUUGCAAGUUGGUGCCUUUUUAGGUUAUGAGAAGCGAUUAUCUUUGUUCCUCCAUGGCGAGCAGCACCGGCUGCAUCUGGCCCCAGCGCAUCUUUGGAAAUUUAGAAUGAUCAAAGGAAUUGGUCAAACUACAGAAAUUGUGACCCUGAUGAGCCGCCCCAGGCCUGACCACCGUUGGUUCAUCGUUCUUCUCUGCCCGCGGAGUUUCCUGUCGUGCAUGCGUACAGUUGAGGAAAACCAAAAAGAAUAGUUGGCAAUACCACCCAAAAAAUUCAGCUACCAAUGUUUUGGUUCUCAGGGUUAACUGAGUUACUCAUCUUGAAGUUGAGACAAACCUACAAGGCUAUAGCGCGAUGAAAAAUAUGAGGUGCAUCACUUUUCUAUUGUCUCUAGCAUUUUUCUUGUUUACUGCACAUCCAUUUAUUUGGUACGGUUAGCUAAGGUACCAGUGUAAUACCCCCUUGACCCAUCAGGUAAUAUAUGCCUUUAAAAGUUGUUUGUGCAAUAGUAAUAUCUUAGCAAGUCUUCUGAAAGAGAGCCAUAAUUUCCAAUGUAAGACCAAAGAGGCUUUCUGGGCACCUAGGUUAACGUUUUGAACCCUAUUUAUUUUGUGCCUUUUCUUUUCAUCAUCUCUGGUUACUCACUACAUCCACCUAUAUUCUAUCACUGGGAGGACUACGACGACAUCGUAAAGGACUUGAGCUUGAAGCUGAAGCAGAGCUGCUUGAGUGAUCCACUGCUUGAGGUGAUAUUGCGAGCAGCAUCAUGUUUAUUAAUAGGAAUAUAUUGUUGUGGCAUUGCAGUGGCGUAUUGGUAAUUGAUAGUGCUGAUUCCGGAUACAUGUAAACUCCUUAUAAAUACUUUCAUUUAUACCGUGAAUAUAUUGUUGUGGUGUUGCAGUCGUGUAUAUAUGUGUCACAUGUUACUAUUUC